rnacentral:piRNA from 1 species
UUAACUUCAAAAUGAUUGAUG